CGGGGUGUGGCGCAGUCUGGCUAGCGCGCUACCUUGGGGUGGUAGAGGUCGCAGGUUCAAGUCCUGUCACUCCGACCA
rnacentral:tRNA from 1 species